AUACGAAGGUCCCAAGCGUUAUUCGGAAUCACUGGGCGUAAAGAGUACGUAGGCGGUUUGGUAAGUCAGGUGUGAAAUCCCGGAGCUCAACUCCGGAACUGCAUCCGAUACUACCAGACUUGAGUAAUGGAGAGGCAGGUGGAAUUCUCGGUGUAGCAGUGAAAUGCGUGGAUAUCGAGAGGAAGACCAAUGGCGAAGGCAGCCUGCUGGACAUUUACUGACGCUGAGGUACGAAGGCUAGGGGAGCGAAAGGGAUUAGAAACCCUGGUAGUCC
rnacentral:rRNA from 1 species